UGCAUCAUUAAAUAAAGAAAUAAAGAAAAACAAUGAAUAACUGAAUGAUGUGUCUAAACUUUUGACAUUUUUGCUGUUGCUUCUUUAUCUAGAAAUGAUUAAGCCGAGGAACAUGUCUGUAAGUCUGCUCCUGCUCUGGAUGGUAGUGAACAUCCACACUGCUGCCGGAUCUGCUGGAGAGAUUCUCAGUGAACUCAGUGAGAUAAACACUGAAAGACCACUAAACAUCAGACCUGAGGUCAGUGUGGAUGUCUGUGUGAGAUGUGCUGCGGAUCUACAGUGUGACGAGAGCAGUGAAGGAUUGGUGAAGUUGUGGCAGACCCCCUUUGGAUCAUUUGGAAAUGGGCUGUUUUUUAGAGAAAACGACCCAAUUAACAUAAAUAACAGAACACUGAGAAUCCCAAGAGCCACUUUCAGCCAUAUUGGACUCUACCACUGUCGAAUGGUGGACAACAGAGGAACAACAGUAAUUUCAUACAGAGUGAAUGUGGUGGAUAAAGACAUAAACGGCCCGGCAAGACCGAGAUUAGCCAGAGAAGCCCAGGAGACAGGAGGACAUGAGCUGGCAUCGGGUGUGGUACCAGCAGUGCUGGUGUCAUUCAUGGUCGCCUUCACCCUUGGCGCGUUCAGCAGAUCCUACGUCAUCAAGUGCCUCCAAAAAACAGAGGCCAGGAUGCUUCCGAAACGAAGCUUUCACUCACGCAGAGCAGCUGGCAUUGGUCCAUUCAGAAUGACCGGCAGGAUGUCCUCCUUUUUUAAAGAUUCUGGUGCUUUAAAGGCAUCUAGACCCAAUAAAUCUCCCCCAAAAUGGUUCUGGUCCAAGAAAGACAACCAAGAAUCUACAGUUGAGGAGAUUGAGGUUGUAGAUGAAGCACAAACCAAUCCAGAACCAGAUCUACAACCAGAACCAGAGCAUCAAGAUGAAGAACCCUCUACCAUACAACCCAAACGCAGAAGUAGAGUCAUUAAACUCUACAACUACGAUGAUGAGGGUAAGAGAUUCGACCAUCUCACAGAUCCGGAGGUGGUGAUGUUGGAGCAGGAGGAGGUCGAACCCAAACCCAGACUCAGAGUGAUGUCUCUGACCCGACUCAGCACCAUCAUGAGCCAAGUGGACACUCCAGAUCUGUCUACAUACAGAAGAUCACGAGAUAACACCCCAUCUAAACCAGAUGAGCCUCCUCAGGAUUAGUUCUGGAGGGUUAACUGAUUAAUCAAAUGUAAUUUACUAAUUUAAUUAAUCAUAUUACUGUUUUAAUGCAAUUUCCAAAAUGGAAAAAUCAAGACAAUUUGUUUUCUUUUUUUAAGAAUGUUUUAAGACCUCAAUAAAUAUAAUUUAAGGUCCCA
rnacentral:lncRNA from 1 species